AACGAACGCUGGCGGCAUGCCUAACACAUGCAAGUCGAACGAGAUCUUCGGAUCUAGUGGCGCACGGGUGCGUAACGCGUGGGAAUCUGCCCUUGGGUACGGAAUAACUCAGAGAAAUUUGUGCUAAUACCGUAUAAUGUCUUCGGACCAAAGAUUUAUCGCCCAAGGAUGAGCCCGCGUAGGAUUAGCUAGUUGGUGAGGUAAAAGCUCACCAAGGCGACGAUCCUUAGCUGGUCUGAGAGGAUGAUCAGCCACACUGGGACUGAGACACGGCCCAGACUCCUACGGGAGGCAGCAGUGGGGAAUAUUGGACAAUGGGCGAAAGCCUGAUCCAGCAAUGCCGCGUGAGUGAUGAAGGCCCUAGGGUUGUAAAGCUCUUUUACCCGGGAUGAUAAUGACAGUACCGGGAGAAUAAGCUCCGGCUAACUUCGUGC
rnacentral:rRNA from 1 species